rnacentral:rRNA from 1 species
CCCUUAGAUGUCCUGGGCUGCACGCGCGCUACACUGAUGUGUCCAGUAAGCACCUAACCUCUUCCGAAAGGAACGGGUAACCUUUGCAAAGCACAUCGUGAUGGGGAUAGAUUAUUGCAAUUAUUAGUCUUGAACGAGGAAUUCCUAGUAAGCACAAGUCAUCAGCUUGUGUUGAUUACGUCCCUGCCCUUUGUACACACCGCCCGUCGCUCCUACCGAUUGAAUGUUCCGGUGAGCGCUUCGGACUGCGCGGUCUGCAGUUUCUGCGUUCCGUGCGGAAAGUUGCGCAAACCUUAACAUUUAGAGGAAGGAGAAGUCGUAACA